UACGUAGGGGGCAAGCGUUAUCCGGAUUUACUGGGCGUAAAGGGAGCGUAGACGGUGUGGCAAGUCUGAUGUGAAAGGCAUGGGCUCAACCUGUGGACUGCAUUGGAAACUGUCAUACUUGAGUGCCGGAGGGGUAAGCGGAAUUCCUAGUGUAGCGGUGAAAUGCGUAGAUAUUAGGAGGAACACCAGUGGCGAAGGCGGCUUACUGGACGGUAACUGACGUUGAGGCUCGAAAGCGUGGGGAGCAAACAGG
rnacentral:rRNA from 1 species